rnacentral:rRNA from 1 species
UAGGGAAUCUUCGGCAAUGGGGGGAACCCUGACCGAGCAACGCCGCGUGAGUGAAGAAGGUUUUCGGAUCGUAAAGCUCUGUUGUUAAGGAAGAACGAGUGUGAGAAUGGAAAGUUCAUGCUGUGACGGUACUUAACCAGAAAGGGACGGCUAACUACGUGCCAGCAGCCGCGGUAAUACGUAGGUCCCGAGCGUUGUCCGGAAUUAUUGGGCGUAAAGCGCGCGUAGGCGGUUUUUUAAGUCUGAUGUGAAAGCCCACGGCUCAACCGUGGAGGGUCAUUGGAAACUGGAAAACUUGAGUGCAGAAGAGGAAAGUGGAAUUCCAUGUGUAGCGGUGAAAUGCGCAGAGAUAUGGAGGAACACCAGUGGCGAAGGCGACUUUCUGGUCUGUAACUGACGCUGAUGUGCGAAAGCGUGGGGAUCAAACAGG